UGAGGAAUAUUGGGCAAUGCCCGCAAGGGUGACCCAGAAACGCCGCGUGGAGGAUGAAUGUCGUAAGAUUGUAAACUCCUGUUAGAGGGGAAGAAUAGUACCGGUUGGACCGGUAUAUGACUGUACCCUCAGAGAAAGCCCCGGCUAACUACGUGCCAGCAGCCGCGGUAAUACGUAGGGGGCAAGCGUUGUCCGGAUUUACUGGGUGUAAAGGGCGCGCAGGCGGGAUAAAAAGUCAGUGGUGAAAUCCUACAGCUUAACUGUAGAACUGCCUUUGAUACUUUUAUUCUUGAGUUCGGGAGAGAGAGACGGAAUUCCAGGUGUAGUGGUGAAAUACGUAGAUAUCUGGAAGAACACCAGUUGCGAAGGCGGUCUCUUGGUCCGACACUGACGCUGA
rnacentral:rRNA from 1 species